rnacentral:rRNA from 1 species
GACGAACGCUGGCGGCGUGCUUAACACAUGCAAGUCGAGCGGAAAGGCCACCUCGGUGGUACUCGAGCGGCGAACGGGUGAGUAACACGUGAGUAAUCUGCCCUUCACUUGGGGAUAACCUCCGGAAACGGAGGCUAAUACCCGAUAUGACCAGUGCCCGCAUGGGUUGCUGGUGGAAAGUUUUUUCGGUGGAGGAUGUGCUCGCGGCCUAUCAGCUUGUUGGUGGGGUAAUGGCCUACCAAGGCUUCGACGGGUAGCCGGCCUGAGAGGGUGACCGGCCACACUGGGACUGAGACACGGCCCAGACUCCUACGGGAGGCAGCAGUGGGGAAUAUUGGACAAUGGGCGGAAGCCUGAUCCAGCAACGCCGCGUGAGGGAUGACGGCCUUCGGGUUGUAAACCUCUUUCAGCGGGGACGAAGCCUUGCCCUUUUGGGCGAGGUGACGGUACCCGCAGAAGAAGCACCGGCCAACUACGUGCCAGCCGCCGCCGUAAUAC